AAAAUCUCAAAAGGAUGGUCACUGUUUACAGUGCCGUUUCUUUCGGAUGUGAGCCUUUUUGUCAUAUGGCAAUGGCUUGAAAAUGAUUGUGUUUGCACCAGCCACAUGGCUCGGUUCUUAACAAGUGCAACAGAUGUUAACCCAUUCGUUUUCUCUUGGAGAGGAUCGUGCUCAAGUAACUGGUUGUUCACUCAAAACCAACACUUUCGAUGGUCCUUGGAUCAUUGACUGAUA
rnacentral:misc_RNA from 1 species